rnacentral:rRNA from 1 species
ACGGGAGGCAGCAGUGGGGGAUAUUGCACAAUGGGCGAAAGCCUGAUGCAGCGACGCCGCGUGAGGGAAGACGGUUUUCGGAUUGUAAACCUCUGUCUUCGGGGACGAAAAUGACGGUACCCGAGGAGGAAGCCACGGCUAACUACGUGCCAGCAGCCGCGGUAAUACGUAGGUGGCAAGCGUUGUCCGGAAUUACUGGGUGUAAAGGGAGAGUAGGCGGGAUUGCAAGUCCGUUGUUAAAUCUAUCGGCUCAACCGAUAGUUGCGGCGGAAACUGUAGUUCUUGAGUGAAGUAGAGGUAAGCGGAAUUCCUAGUGUAGCGGUGAAAUGCGUAGAUAUUAGGAGGAACAUCGGUGGCGAAGGCGGCUUACUGGGCUUUUACUGACGCUGAGGCUCGAAAGCGUGGGGAGCAAACAGGAUUAGAUACC